rnacentral:tRNA from 1 species
UGUAAAUAGUUGUUUGAUGCAUAAAGAAAUUUGAAUUCUUAGGGUUAAGUUUAAAUCUUAAAUUUACAA